rnacentral:rRNA from 1 species
CCUACGGGUGGCAGCAGUGGGGAAUAUUGCACAAUGGGGGAAACCCUGAUGCAGCGACGCCGCGUGAGCGAAGAAGUAAUUCGUUAUGUAAAGCUCUAUUAGCAGGGAAGAAAAUGACGGUACCUGAGUAAGAAGCCCCGGCUAACAACGUGCCAGCAGCCGCGGUAAUACGUAGGGGGCAAGCGGUAUCCGGCUUUACUGGGUGUAAAGGGAGCGUAGACGGCAGUGCAAGUCUGGAAGGAAAGGCGGGGGGUAAACCCCCGGACUGCUCUGGAUACUGGCCGGCUGGAGUGCUGGAGAGGUAAGUGGAAUUCCUAGUGGAGCGGUGAAAUGCGUAGAUAUUAGGAGGAACACCAGUGGCGAAGGCAGCUUACUGGACUGUAACUGACGUUGAGGCUCGAAAGCGUGGGGAGCAAACAGGAUUAGAUACCCCAGUAGUC